rnacentral:rRNA from 1 species
GUGAGGAAUAUUGGACAAUGGGCGCAAGCCUGAUCCAGCCAUGCCGCGUGCAGGAAGACGCAUCUAUGGUGUGUAAACUGCUUUUGUACGGGAAGAAACACUCCCUCGUGAGGGAGCUUGACGGUACCGUAAGAAUAAGGAUCGGCUAACUCCGUGCCAGCAGCCGCGGUAAUACGGAGGAUCCAAGCGUUAUCCGGAAUCAUUGGGUUUAAAGGGUCCGUAGGCGGUUUAAUAAGUCAGUGGUGAAAGCCCAUCGCUCAACGAUGGAACGGCCAUUGAUACUGUUAGACUUGAAUUUCAAGGAAGUAACUAGAAUAUGUAGUGUAGCGGUGAAAUGCUUAGAUAUUACAUGGAAUACCAAUUGCGAAGGCAGGUUACUACUUGUGGAUUGACGCUGAUGGACGAAAGCGUGGGGAGCGAACAGGAUUAGAAACCCCUGUAGUCC